UUCUCAGGAAGCAAGGUGGGAACACGACGUCAUGUUAGGAUGGUCACAACAGUCCGCAGCAGCACAGCACACUGGAAAUAACCCAGCUCUCCUCAGCAAAGGACAUCUUCUAAGCUGUAGUCAUCAAAGUGCAUGCACCUUUAAACGAUUUUUAUAAAGAGUUGUAUUUUACUGCACAGGAAAGGAUCAAACAGUGAAAAUAUGUAAACCAGGGAAACAGGAUGAUAAUGGCUUAGUCUGUGAUCUUAUGCAUAUGAAAGCAUAUUUAUUGCAUAUCCAUAGUACAAAUAUUGAAAAUGCUGUGUCUGAGUGGCUCUUUCCAGAUGAGACAGCUUUGCAGACAAAUCUUAAGUAUUUUUUCUCUAUUUUCCUGGUUUUCCUUGCUUUAAAUUUUACAAUCAUAAAGACUGAUACAUAUUAAUUGUACCAAUGAGUAGAAUUUGCUGUGAAAUUUCCAUACAUACAUACAUCAUACAUUAAUUAUGUCCAACUGCCUUCCUUUACUCUUGGUCCCCUCCUGUUUUAGAUUUUACUUUUUCCUGGAGGGCAAAUGUUAAGACAGGAUCUCCCUGGCAACACAUGCUGGCCUUUAACUCACAACCCUCCGCUGUUCCUGUACACGGGUAGAAUGGACAUGCACAACCACUGCUGGACCCCUUUUUAUAAACAACAGCAACAACAAAAAACAAACGUGUGCAAUCAAUGUCGUUUUAUAAUGCACUGCUCUGGUGUGCAACCAAUGUGGUUUGCAACGCACUGCUUGGGUGCAUAAAUGCCCCAUAUUUUUCAUUUUGCUAGACCAAAAAAAAAAAAAAAAAGUUCUCUGAGACCCAAGCUUUAGGACAGACAAAGCACUACUGGGGUUCUCUUGAAGAGUCAAGAGUCAAAAACAACACAGAAACUUUGGAAGAACACAAACUUCCUUCAGAUGAUUGUCCAACUUUUGCAACCUAUAUGCAGCUAUGUGCCUGUGCUGUGCAAAGAGAGGUAUGCACAACUAUUUUCUGCUCAGAAUAUGACUCUGGAACAUUUCUGGAGCCAUCAUAACAAGACAGAGCCUUAGGCAGAGAUUCAUUGUCAAGGUAGAGGACCACCCCGAAUUUGAGGCUAGCUUAUUCUAUAUUAUAAGAAAGUUUUUUGUUUGUUUGUCCUGUUUGGUUCUACCCUAGGUCUGUGAGUCGUCCAGCUUCCAAAUCCUAGCCAUCUAGGCAGUGUCUGGCAUGGGCUUCCUCUAAUGUCAUUGGCCUCAAGUUAGACCAAUCCCACAUGAGUUGGCCACUCCUACAUUCUUAAGUAAACAAGUUAAGAUACUGAUAUAAAGACCACAUCAAUAAAACCUUUAGAGGAAACUAUAUCGGUAAGACUCUGUGUGUGUCUUACAGUCUCUGAGGAUAAAAAAAAGAGAGAAAGUAGAGAAAAUGAGACAUACUCAGUGCAAAUUAUCUCCCAUACUACACUUUAAGUCUCAGUGAACUAUCUCAAUUAGCUCAUGAUUAAACUAUUAGAGCAAAUGUUGUUAAACCAAAGUGUACACGUGAAUGUCUACAAAUGAACAUUUUCAACCUGGGCCCAGACAGCCUACAAGCUAUGUGGCAAACUCUGUAGCCCUCAAGUACUCUGUCUUUUUAAUCUUUUAUUGUUGUUGCUGUUGUUAUUUGUCUUUGGUUCAUUUUUAACUACAUGUCUUUGGAGGGAUGAGUAUGCAUGCGUUAGUAAACUUCCAGAGACUGGAAGCUGGAGUUGGAUGUCCUGACGCUGGAAUUACAGGUGUUUGUGAGCUACCCUCUGACUCCAGGUGCCACCUUGCCAGCAGAUUUUGUCUUCAUUUUUAUGAUUAUCAUUAAUACAAAAAAGCUUAGACCUGGAGAGAUAACUUAGCAGGUUAAUUCUCUUGCUCUCACAGAGGAUCUGAGUUCAGUUCUGAACACACACGUGAUGGCUCAUGACCAUCUGUCCCUCCAGUUCUCGUAGAUCUUAUGCUGUCAUCUAGCCUCUGUGAGCAGCAGGCACACACAGUCAAAUGCACAGGUGCUGAAAAAAACAGCCGUAUAUAUAAAAUAAAUCUCAAAAAAAUUCUUAACACAAAAAAUUAAUCAUCAGGGAAAUGCAAAUCAAAACAACCCUGAUAUUCCACCUCACACCAGUCAGAAUGGCUAAGAUCAAAAACUCAGGUGACAGCCGAUGUGGAGAAAAAGGAACACUCCUCCAUUGUUGGUAGGAUUGCAAGCUUGUACAACCACUCUGAAAAUCAGUCUGGUGGUUCCUCAGAAAAUUGGACAUAGUACUACCAGAGGAUACAGCAAUACCUCUCCUUUGCAUAUAUUCAGAAGACGUUCCAACUGGUAAUAAGGACACAUGCUCUACUAUGUUCAUAGCAGCCUUAUUUAUAAUAGCCAGAAGCUGGAAAGAACCCAGAAGUCCCUCAGCAGAGGAAUGGAUACAGAAAAUGUGGUACAUUUACACAAUGGACUACUACUCAACUAUAAAAAACAAUGAAUUUAUGAAAUUCCUAGGCAAAUGGAUGGAUCUGGAGGAUAUAUCAUCCUGAGUGAAGUAACCCAAUCACAAAAGAACUCACAUGAUAUGCACUCACUGAUAAGUGGAUAUUAGCCCAGAAACUUAGACUACCCAAGAUACAAUUUGCAAAACACUAGAAAAUCAAGAAGGAAGACAAACGAGUGGAUACUUCGUUCCUUCUUAGAAUGGGGAACAAAAUACCCACGGAAGGAGUUACAGAGACAAAGUUUGGAGCUGAGACAAAAGGAUGGACCAUCCAGAGACUGCCCCACCUGGGGAUCUAUCCCAUAAUCAGACACCAAACCCAAACACUAUUGCAUAUGCCAGCAAGAUUUUGCUGAAAGGACCCUGAUAUAGCUGUCUCUUGUGAGGCUAUGCCAGUGCCUGGCAAAUACAGAAGUGGAUGCUCACAGUCAUCUAGUGGAUGGAACACAGGGUCCCCAAUGGAGGAGCUAGAGAAAUUACCCAAGGAGCUGCAGGGGUCUGCAACCCCAUAGGUGGAAAAACAAUAUGAACUAACCAGUACCCC
rnacentral:lncRNA from 1 species